GUAGGGACCUAGCGUAGUUCGGAAUUACUGGGCUUAAAGAGUUCGUAGGUGGUUAAAGAAGUUGGUGGUGAAAUCCCAGAGCUUAACUCUGGAACUGCCAUCAAAACUUUUUAGCUAGAGUAUGAUAGAGGAAAGCAGAAUUUCUAGUGUAGAGGUGAAAUUCGUAGAUAUUAGAAAGAAUACCAAUUGCGAAGGCAGCUUUCUGGAUCAUUACUGACACUGAGGAACGAAAG
rnacentral:rRNA from 1 species